rnacentral:rRNA from 1 species
AGGGUGUAAACGCUGCGGGCUUGGUGUUGGGGGUCCUUUGAGGGCGCCCAGUGCCGGAGAGAAGUUGUUAAGCCUGCUGCUUGGGGAGUACGUCCGCAAGGAUGAAACUUAAAGGAAUUGGCGGGGGAGCACCGCAACGGGAGGAGCGUGCGGUUCAAUUGGAUUCAACGCCGGACAACUCACCAGGAGCGACGGUUACAUGAAGGCCAGGCUGAUGACCUUGCCUGAUUUUCCGAGAGGUGGUGCAUGGCGUAGUCCGUG